CUGUAGACAGUAGUUAGAGGAGCAGCUGGACAGCUAGGAGAAAGAUGACUGAAGGAGAGGGCACGGCCGGCAAAGCAGCACGUUUCUGCGACGCUUUCUUGUUUUCACAUAGUUCACCACUCAAAACCGUCGCAGGAGUGUACAUGCUUUUGGACAUGCUUCCAGCGGCAUGCCGUGCGUGUGAGUGCUGCUGCGCUGCCGUGUGUAGCUGGUUUAAAAAAGCUACAAUGAUGAAUGCUUCUGGCUCGAAAUAAACUCAGAGAUUAAGGAUGUAACAACACGAUCAUGGGUUGUAUGGCGAGAAACAAAUUAGUCAGUGUAAAUGAGCUUUUUGGGGUUAUAAACAUACCAUCCCAAAGUAGGGAUGCACCGAGAGUUCCACCACCGCCUGCAAAUGAAUGGUUCUGACAGGUUUUUUGGACUGACGAACACAGUUUUCACUUUUAAGACCGAGUACAACAACAGGUUAUUUACAAACAAUUUGUUGUUGCAGUUAGUCUUGAGAAUUUAAUAAUACAUCACUGACAUGUUCAUGCAGUGAAUCAGUUUGUUUGCUGUUGCUCAAAACAGUGGAUCCAGGCUGGUAACCUUGAAUCUCUUUUUCCUGUUUUAGAAGAUAUGCGUGCACCGUUUCUCACACACACACACACACGUGCACACACACUACGUUACAUUUUCCGACGCUACCUGAUCCGUACUGCACAUGCCAAUGAUGAAUACUUAUUUGUAUUUGCAUGUGUUUUUUGCAGUGCUGGAUUUUUUUUAAAAUGCUACCUGCUAUGCAAAUGAUCAGUGAUGUUAUUUCAUCACCACGUACUGCUUCGGUUAAUUAUUUUAAAUUAUUCCAAAGCAUAAAUUAAAAGGGUAAUUAAUUAAAGUAAGUCCUGCAAUGGUUGAGAAAGUAAACUGAUUAAAAAGAAAAAAAUAUAUAUAUAUAUAAUAAAUAAAUAAAUAACCUGGCACUUGUUUUUGUUUCAGUCCAGUGUGUCCUGAGACUGGACUUAUUUUCGGUGCAUCACUACCUCUAAGAUGUAGAAGGCUUGAUUAGACUAAAAUACUUGCAUGCUUGAUAUAGCACACCGCUCCUGGUUAUAUCCUAAACCACAGUCUUUACUAUAACCCUAGCCAGAAAUAUAUCAAUAUAUUCCUCCACAACUACUGCCCUCUCCUUUGUUUUCUUUCUUCUGCUUCAGUUAAACAGGAAGAAAAUGUAGGCAGAUUUUUUUUAUUAUUAUUAUUUUAUUUUUUUUUAUUUGUUAACCAGGUCUCGGAUUCCCUCCUCCUGACUUGAAGCCGAACAAGUAGCCACUGUUCUAAUGCUGCAGUUGUGCAGCAGGAACUUUGACUAUAUCUGAGGGUGUGUACAUAGCAGUCCAUAUGAUACUUAAUAGUACAGAUGUACAGGUUUUUAUUCGUUGCUCUUGAUAUGUAUGAAGAUAAUUGUAUUGUUUUUGAAUGCAUCAACAGGGAGUUUUGAAUUAUGAACAAUGAAAUAAUGACAUGCAGUUACCACAAUAAAGUGAUUAAACUGAAACGAG
ensembl:lncRNA